CUGCUGCCUCCCGUAGGAGUUUGGGCCGUGUCUCAGUCCCAAUGUGGCCGAUCACCCUCUCAGGUCGGCUACUGAUCGUCGCCUUGGUGAGCCGUUACCUCACCAACCAGCUAAUCAGACGCGGGUCCAUCUUACACCGAUAAAACUCUUUUCCGUCCGGGCCAUGUGACCCUAGCGGGUUAUGCGGUAUUAGCAGUCAUUUCUAACUGUUAUCCCCCUGUGUAAGGUAGGUUACCCACGCGUUACUCACCCGUCCGCCG
rnacentral:rRNA from 1 species